AUGGAUAGCUUCCAUUUGGCCAAGGUCUUGGGGUUAAACUGGGGGGUGACCACAACCCAGGCUACUCCUGCUUCUUUCCACAGGAACGUGCAGCCCAUGCUGAUUGCAUGUGAGCAUCCUCCUGCAGGCUCCAACUCAGUGCUGGGCAGAGGCAUGAGCACAGGCAGAGCCGUAUCACCAGAAAGACAAAGGAUCUGGGUGCCUGGCUGGCCAGGGCUCCCUGUCCUCACCACUGCUGUCAGCCUCCUGCUUGCUCUGAUGUGAGACCACCAGCACAGCAAGGAGAAGUGAGACUGACCACAACAGGACUCAUCUGCACAACGCUCAGUGCCUUGUUUCAUUAUCAUCAACACGAUAACAACAAUAGCAACAUCAACAACAAGCACUUUAUUAUCCCUCCUGCUAUCCUUAUUCAGACGUGACCUGAGAAGCAUUUCAGAAAGACAACCCAAACUCAGUGCGAGAUCCAGGCGGGCAGGGCAGUCAAUUAAACAUCAGAGUGAUGGGCAGAGCUGGGACGAGCCAAGAGUGGCAGCAGAGCUGGACAACCCCUGCCAAGCUCAGGGAGAUGCAUGGAUCUGGGACACAUCUCAGCCCUGUCCCCCAGAGAGGCAGAGCCCUGCUACCUGCACACAUCUUUACACCCCGCUUUCUCCCUGCUUGAUUGCUGUUUCAUUGACUUAUGCAGGUGAGAACGUUUUCUGGAGAAAGCUGCCACCCAAGCUGUGCUACCAAUUGCCAUCUGAUCUGGUGACGUUUUAUUACCUCCAAAAAUAAAGAGCCCUGCUGUGUCUUAAGUGUGGUUUUU
rnacentral:lncRNA from 1 species